AUGAACGCUAGCGAUAGGCUUAACACAUGCAAGUCGAGGGGCAGCAUGGUCUUAGCUUGCUAAGACUGAUGGCGACCGGCGCACGGGUGCGUAACGCGUAUGCAACUUGCCUCACAGAGGGGGAUAACCCGUCGAAAGACGGACUAAUACCGCGUACACUCCAUCUUGGGCAUCCAAGGUAGAGGAAAUGAAAUUCGCUGUGAGAUAGGCAUGCGUCCCAUUAGCUAGUUGGUGAGGUAACGGCUCACCAAGGCGACGAUGGGUAGGGGAACUGAGAGGUUGAACCCCCACACUGGUACUGAGACCCGGACCAGACUACUACGGGAGGCAGCAGUGAGGAAUAUUGGUCAAUGGGCGAGAGCCUGAACCAGCCAAGUCGCGUGAAGGAUGACUGUCUUAUGGAUUGUAAACUUCUUUUAUACGGGAAUAACAAGAGUCACGUGUGACUCCCUGCAUGUACCGUAUGAAUAAGCAUCGGCUAACUCCGUG
rnacentral:rRNA from 1 species